ACUUCUUAGGAGAAUCUUCAUCUUCUGAAAGUAGAAACAAAUGGGUGGUCAUGAAAACUGAAUCAGAGGAGAGAAGAGGAAUCUGAAACUGACUUGGCAAAGAGUACAUUGCCAUGGAUUACAGAGGCAAGGGAAGCAUGAGCUAAUAAAGUAGUACAAUGAACUGAAAAAAGUAUUGCAAAAUAAAUGCCAAAUAAAAAGAACAAGCCGGGUGAAGACUCCUUACACUCCUCCCUUCCUCCAAUGUGGGGUCCCUCCCCAGUAGACAAUCUUCCAUGAACUUCUCCAGCAGGAGUCCUUCCCACAGGCUGCAGUUCUUCACAAAUUGCUCCAGUGUGAGUCCUUUCUACAGGCUGAAGUCCUUCGGAAAUAGACUGCUCCAGCAUGGAUUCCCUCUAGGAUCACAAGUUCUGCCAGCAAAUCUGCUCAAGCAUGGACUUUUCUUCCAGGGGGCCCACAGGUCCUACCAGGAGUUUGGUCAGCCAGACUUCCCAUGGGGUCACAACCUCCUGCAGCCUCCACCUGCUCCAGAAUGAGGUCCUCCAGGGGCCUCGGGUGGAUAUCUGCUCCACUGUGGACGUUCAUGGGCCACAGGGGGACAUCCUGCUUCACCGUGGUCUACAGCAUGGGCUGUGGGGGAUUUGCUGCUCUGGCACUUAGAACAACUGCUCCCCCUCCUUCUUCACUGACCUUGGUGACUACAGAGCUAUUUCUGUCCUGUAUUCUCUCUCCUCUCUUACUGUCCACAGUUGCUUUUGGGCAGUAAUAUUUCCCCCUCCUAACUGUGUUAUCUCAGAGGUGCUACCACCCAAUGGGCUUGGCCUUAGGCUCACCCAGUGGCCAGUCCACCUUGGGGCCAGCCAGCAUUGGCUCUGUCAGCCAUGGAGGAAGCUUCAGCAGCUUCUGACAGUAGCCACUCCUGUGGAUUUCCCCCCAACCCAACCUUGCCACUCAAAACCAAUGCAUUGAGAUUUCCUGUUCAAAACAGCUAAAACUACAAUAGUGUAAAAACACUGAACAAACAGGGAUCUGAACUUGAAGACUUGAACAUGCAUCCACUUGACACAUGACUUCGCUGAUACUAAAAACAUCUCACUAACAAAAAUUCUUAUGAGAAGGCUACUUGAUAUAGGGGGUGGUUUAAAUCUUUAAAUAAGGCAUUUGGGAGUGAAAUUUUCAGUCUAAUUAGUGGCAUUUCAUAUUACUUCUAGGAUUAGAUUUCUAAACCUAUUCUCAGUUUUGGCUCCAGAAACAAAGGCAGAUAGAAUAAUCAGAGAUAGCUUAUUUUAAAUUUUUAUUUAUUUUUAACCUAACAGCUUGUGUACAUUCUUAUCUGGAAAUAUUUUGCCAGUUAUCACAUUUGCUGGAAGUGGAGAAGCAGUGGUUGGAACAGAAGAUGCAAAAGAGAAGAAACAUGCCUUGUUAGGCCAUUCUGUCACUUUUCUUGAAUUAGUUAAUCAUGGAGGGUUACAUCAAAUGGACAUAAAAUGUGGAGCCCUAUGUUAGACAUGAGCAUCCUACAAGCAGCACAAGGACAGAAUUAAAUUUUCUUUCUAAUAUGACUUGAACAAAUCAUAGGAUGGAGCUUCCUAUGUUCAGCCUUUGAUGAACUGGCCAAGAACCGGGAAAUGCUGACGAUACAUAAGCCUUAAAUCCACUUCUUUGGGAGGCUUCCAGGAGGCAUAUUCAUCUGUUUGGGAUCCAUUAUGUACGGCUUUCCCUUUAAGGGUUGAGAGGAGGUCACUUUUCUUUUCCAAACUGCCAGAAGGCAAGUUGGGAGCUCAUGCUGCUGCAAACCAACCUUUGCAAAACACUGGGCUCCUGGGGUCAGUUUUCACCCCAGUCAGAAAUGCUCAAAACUGUCUGUGACCUCUUGGGAAAGUGUUCUUGCUACCAGAGUAUUUGGUAUUUAUCAGAAAUAGCUCACAUGUGAGAAACUGAGCUUAAUUCACAGGAAUCUGUACAAACAGUCAAGCUCUUCAGAUGGAAGGUACUGCAGAACUGCAAAUUAUUGUAUUUAAUCAUAGAGCUCUUGAGACUGAGCCCUUUGGAGCCUGGAGGCUUUCAUUAGCAACAUCAUCAUGUAAUGCCAAGCUCUUAGUUGAACAUAAUGAAGAUAUCCUCAGGAUGAGAGGAGAAAAGAAGCACCACAUUUCCUCUCAUGGGAGGGAGCAUAAGAAGUAGAUAUGCAAUCCUAACAGAUAUGUUCCUUCAGGAGAGAUGAAUUUGUGUAUUCCUUCUAGCACCAAAAUGAAUUUACCAGAAAUGUUAAGGCAACCUUGCCCCCUUGCUGAUUAUGCUCUCAGGUUGUUUUCCCCUUUGUAAGAAAGUGCAUCCUGUUUCCCUAAUAGACUAUGCCAAAAUCCCAUCUGCAAGCAUCCCUAAACAGCAGGAAAGUUUCAGUCAGAUUUAAAUUUAGGCUCCCACGCUAGCAUCCAUUCUGUAGAGGGAAUGUGAUGCUGUAACGCUUUCUUCAUGAGGAUCUGCUUCUCGGUUUUGAAUUGGGCUCUUCUAUGACCCUUCAUGCUUGCAAAUGUCUUGUGACCAAAAUAGGCUCUUUACUACACCAGAAUCUUAGAUCUGUGGUGCACCAGGGGAUGACGAAGGGACCCACAGGCACAGUUUGUGCUCUAACCUACUCAGGCCAGGAGCCAAGCAGAUGGGCAGGGAGCUUGAAGCGAUCAGCAGUGCAGAAGUGAGAACUGUUCUCGCUUUUUUUGUGUGUGUACAAUUGAAAAAUGUGGAUUUAAAGACACUUUGGUGCAAAGAUAAUAAAGGAAGGGUAUAUACAUAAAGUAUCAUUAGAAGUGUAAGCAUAGCACUGGCGGACACAGCAAGUGCAGGUAGCAGAGCAGCUGUAAUACCAUGGCCUUAGUUCUGCUGACAUAACCCUGCAAGCUUUUCUUUUUCCUUGAUAUUUGUCACCCAUCCAUUCAUCCAAACAAAAGAAAAAGCCUGGAAAAGAUUGUCAAUUGUAGCAUAUUUGCAAAUUCUUCUCUUAUCAACCAACUUCACUUCUGUAAACAAUUUCUGUGCAUUACUGACUCUUAAAAUACAGUACACAUGGAAAAAUCAUGCCUAAAAUGCACUAGUUGGGGAACUGGUUCCAAGGACACAUAAAUAUCAAUAACUCCUUUGAAGUUCAGCUGGAUAAAAAAUUUUUGGAGUGGCUAUGAGCUUUCUCCUGGAAGGAAAUCAGCUAGCAGUAGGACAACGAGGGAGGCUUUGUGAAAUUUUUGACCUUGUAGGGGUUCUGGAAAGCAGUGUAUUUACUUAGGAUUAUUUGAGGGGCUUGGCAAAUUGAACAAUUAGGGUCUUAGUCAUCUUUGCGUGGGAAUAGUGUAUGCUCUCUUUGUAGCAGCCUUGAAAUGAAAAGCCUGCCUGCCUGUCUGCCAAGCAAUGGGGCUGUGAGCUGAUUCAAGAUGGAGACAUUGUUUAUUCUGGUCCAGAUUUGUAUCUUGCUUCUUUCUCCAUUCUUUCAUUUUUUGUUAAUCUGCAAUAAAUCAUCCAUUCUGGAAGCACAUAUUUUUCCCUUUGCAUUUGGAAACUAUUACUCUAGACAUCUCUGCUUUCAGCACUGAGCUACAUAAGCUGAUGUGUAUGUGUCACAGAUUGUUAAAAGAUCAGGAAAUUAUUAUAGGGUUUGGGGAUACCUGUAGGCACAUGAUCUAAAAAGAUAGGUGAAAUGGUAGCAGUUUUACUUGAUCUUUCUAGGUGGUUUUACUUGAUCUUUCAACUCAUCACUAGUGGGCUGAGUGAUGGUCGGCACCCCUGGGGUAGUAGGCAACAUGCUGAUGGCAGGUCUACCAGUCCCCCAUGCCCUGCUCUCCACAGUUCUUCCUCCACUGCAGUGCUUCUGACACCCUGCUUUAAAUCUCAGGGAUAUAUUGGUUUGCCAACUGCAGAAAAAGUAUUUCCAUGUUAUUACAGUGCCCAUGCAACUGUGUGUCCAGUUUAAACUAACUUGCCUGGCAUUUUCUUUCAUACCUCUCUGCAAGUUGUUUUUUUCUGAUUUAACAACACAAAAGUCAUUGUAUUCCUUAUAUUGGAAUGUGUUGGCUGUAUAAGUAAUAAUAUGAACAGGGCAUGAGUAUACUAACCUUACUUUAUAUACCCUGGCACCUGCUGGAAUAAACCUUCCUGGAAUUCAAAGAAGAAAAGCGGUCUAAGGGGUCUC